CCUACGGGUGGCAGCAGUGAGGAAUAUUGGUCAAUGGACGCAAGUCUGAACCAGCCAUGCCGCGUGCAGGAAGACGGCUCUAUGAGUUGUAAACUGCUUUUGUACGAGGGUAAACGCAGAUACGCGUAUCUGUCUGAAAGUAUCGUAUGAAUAAGGAUCGGCUAACUCCGUGCCAGCAGCCGCGGUAAUACGGAGGAUUCAAGCGUUAUCCGGAUUUAUUGGGUUUAAAGGGUGCGUAGGCGGUCGGAUAAGUUAGAGGUGAAAUCCCGAGGCUCAACUUCGGAAUUGCCUCUGAUACUGUGCGGCUAGAGAGUAGAUGCGGUAGGCGGAAUGUAUGGUGUAGCGGUGAAAUGCUUAGAGAUCAUACAGAACACCAGUUGCGAAGGCAGCUUACCAGGCUACUUCUGACGUUGAGGCACGAAAGCGUGGGGAGCAAACAGGAUUAGAUACCCUAGUAGUC
rnacentral:rRNA from 1 species